GCCAACCUUAUGGGUGACUGAGUUACACUCCCCAGCUGGGUGCUGAGGUGCUCAGUCACAGAAAUGGGUGUGUCUUGCUACAGCCCCAUGGGUGAAGCUAUGCUCACCUGUUCCUUUGUAAUAUAACCCCUUGCCCUGUUUAGGAUAGAAUCUUCCAUGGAAAUGCCUUGUGUGUGUCCCCUCCUCUUACUGUGCCCUUGGGUGUGGCCUACCCACGUGUCAGUCAACCUGCUGACAGUGGACAUCAUGAAGAUAGACUCAGCCCCCUGAAACCUGACCCCUCGCCUCAUUUGAAUAGCUUCUCCUCAAUAAAAGGGGUCAGCGCAUGCUCUCUCUCUCUCUUUCUGCGGACCCUUAAGGUCAGAGGAGCCGUCACAGCAACCCCAAAGAAAAAGGUAUUUGUGUCUCUUGUGUGGUUAUUUCGUGCAGCCCAGUUAGCCCAGUUUAACUAGAGUGACCCCUGAGCCUUUUAGUCGUGAGAACAGAAACCCGGCAAUCCUACUCCCAUUCAGUGAGACUCUAUGCACAUUAAGGAAAAAAUUUGGUUUGAUUUUAAACACAAAGAUCUUAGCACAAAUAAAUGAAUAACAAAAAGUAUUCUUGUCAGCUAAGGAUUUGUUUCCUUGUUUUAGGUUAUCUUAUCUGCAGUGGAAUACAGGAAAUAAUUGCAAAUAAUACUGGGUGCAAAUCCUUUAGAAAGAAUUUGAAGAAAAGGUACAUUCACAAUAAUUAGGAAAAUUUUCACCUUUAAGACCAACAUUUUGAACUAAUUCUACAGGGAAAGAGUUUUUAUGUGGUGUAAGGAUUGAACCCAGUGCCUCACACUCUGCCACUGAGGUAUAACCC
rnacentral:lncRNA from 1 species